UCAAGAGUCUAUCUAAGAAUGCUUUUGGUGGUUCCAACAGUCAGAGGAACCACCUGUCUUCAUAUCCUCAAGAAACUUCAGACCGCGAAGAGAAAGCCAAGAAAGUGUCGCCACCUCGUGGGAAAGGGCUGCGGGAAGAAAAACCAGAUAGACCACCACAAAACUUGUCUUCAUAUGCCAAAGAAACUUCAGACCGUGAAGAGAAAGUGAAGAAACUGUCUCCACCUCGUGGGAAAGUGUUGCGGGAAGAGAAACCAGAUAGACCACCACAAAACUUGUCUUCAUAUCCCCAAGAAACUUCAGACCGUGAAGAGAAAGUGAAGAAAGUGUCGCCACCUCGUGGGAAAGGGCUGCGGGAAGAAAAACCAGACAGACCACAAAACUUGUCUAAAAGAGACGUCAGGUCGUCAGACAUCCCUACCUUUACAAACUUCAGGCAGAACACAAGUGAAACGGUUUCAAGACAAUAUGAAACCGACUCUU
rnacentral:lncRNA from 1 species